AUUGAACGCUGGCGGCAGGCCUAACACAUGCAAGUCGAGCGGAUGACGGGAGCUUGCUCCUUGAUUCAGCGGCGGACGGGUGAGUAAUGCCUAGGAAUCUGCCUGGUAGUGGGGGACAACGUUUCGAAAGGAACGCUAAUACCGCAUACGUCCUACGGGAGAAAGCAGGGGACCUUCGGGCCUUGCGCUAUCAGAUGAGCCUAGGUCGGAUUAGCUAGGUGGUGGGGUAAUGGCUCACCAAGGCGACGAUCCGUAACUGGUCUUAGAGGAUGAUCCGUCACACUGGAACGGGGACACGGUCCAGACUCCUGCGGGAGGCAGCAGUGGGGAAUAUUGGACGAUGGGCGAAAGCCUGAUCCAGCCAUGCCGCGUGUGUGAAGAAGGUCUUCGGAUUGUAAAGCACUUUAAGUUGGGAGGAAGGGCAGUAAGCUAAUACCUUGCUGUUUUGACGUUACCGACAGAAUAAGCACCGGCUAACUCUGUGCCAGCCGCCGCCGUAA
rnacentral:rRNA from 1 species